AACGAACGCUGGCGGCAUGCCUAACACAUGCAAGUCGAACGAGACCUUCGGGUCUAGUGGCGCACGGGUGCGUAACGCAUAGGAACCUGCCCUUAGGUUCGGAAUAACUCCCCGAAAGGGGUGCUAAUACCGGAUAAUGUCUUCGGACCAAAGAUUUAUCGCCUUUGGAUGGGCCCGCGUUGGAUUAGCUAGUUGGUAGGGUAAAAGCCUACCAAGGCGACGAUCCAUAGCUGGUCUGAGAGGAUGAUCAGCCACACUGGGACUGAGACACGGCCCAGACUCCUACGGGAGGCAGCAGUGGGGAAUAUUGGACAAUGGGCGAAAGCCUGAUCCAGCAAUGCCGCGUGAGUGAUGAAGGCCUUAGGGUUGUAAAGCUCUUUUACCCGGGAUGAUAAUGACAGUACCGGGAGAAUAAGCUCCGGCUAACUCCGUG
rnacentral:rRNA from 1 species